AGUAAAGUCAGCUAAACAAGCUCUCAGGCCCAUACCCCGAAUAUGUUGGUUAAACCCCCUCCUUUACUU
rnacentral:tRNA from 1 species